rnacentral:lncRNA from 1 species
UUCAAAGAACACGUUGAUAGUCUACACCAGAUCUAGAGACAUGGUCCUUUAAGCAGUGACCCUCAAGUUAAUCUGGACUGCUGGUCCUUCUGAUGACCUUGGUUCCCUCCCUGGAAAGCGUGUCUCCUUUAAGAGUUCAUGAGGGUCAGGAAGGAGGGGAAACCUCUCCUUCAGCCAGAGGAGGAUGGAAUUAAAGUCCUGUGCACCCUCCCCUUUGUCCAUGUAGGAUCCUGUAAGGACUUCGGACCUGUCCUACAGGGAGUUACUAUAGGGAGACACCUGCUUUUGCCCAAAUGCCUGUUGUCACAGCUCUAUCUGGAUCUUAUCUCCUCCUUUGAGAAAGCAAAUGUGAGCUUUCCAAAACCCUUAGAUGACCCUGGUUCUUACAUAUUGUGGCAGACAGUGUCUUCACUACUGCUAAAUUUUCAUUAGAAAGAGCCCCCUCUUUUCUGUUGAACUUCUGAUUGGGCGCAGUUAUAUUCAGCAUCGGUUGAAGUGGGGUCAGGAUUCUCCUUGGACAUGGAAGGGGAUGUUUAGAAAUUCCUUUAGAUCAGUGUCCACCUUCAUUCCCUGCUUGAAAGAACUAGAAAUGCUUCAGCUUUGGAUGUACUAUCAAAUCCAAACUUCUAAACAUUUCAAGGAUCUCUGAAGAUUAAGGUAGGAAUGUGAAACCAUUUCUAAGGUGGAAAUCUUGCUGUUAAGUCACAGGUCCUGGGUGUAACGGGGGUGGUGAAAGUCUGUAUUUUGGUUGUUUCCAUACAGUCAGUUCCACCAAUUGGGUGAAAGCAGGUGAAAUCUUUUUGCUGCAGGGUGGACUGAAUUUUUCACUUUCUGGGUAGUUGUUUUGAUCAUGUGUAGGCGAAUUCCAGGUAACUUACAGCAAAUAGAUUUGGGAUGGAAAAUACCAGACCUCUGGUUGUGUCAGGGUUUAUCCUAAUAGCUUUCCUGAGACAGAGCUCAGACUUUCAUUUUUGAUCUUCCACCCCAGGGCCCCCUCUCUGUCUAUGGGAUCCUUUCUCCCCUCUCUCUACCAUUUUCCCGUACCUUCCCCCAUAAGUCACUCCCAAGAGCCUGGGCAGGUCUUUGAGGAAUUGCGGCUCAUUUUGGCAGCCCCGUCCUGCAAUUACCUUUGGGUUUGAAAGAAUAGCUGUGGGUGGGCAAUUGAGGACACCUCUUUAGUCAGGGACCUUUCUAGCAAUCCACUCCCUCCCAUCCUGUUAGCCAUGCAGUGGAACUCUCCUUCCCUCUCUGCCCCAACCCCGGUGAUGGCUCACUCUCAGCAUCUUAUGGGACCAUCUGAGUUAACAACCCUGUUCCAAGAAGACUUUGUGCAGAACUUUUGUUAGGGUGGUCAUACCUUCUCACCACCAUUUGGAAGACACAGCCUAAUGCUGAUGUACUUAAUGUGCCCCUUCCGGCAUAGAAAUAAUGUCUGGGUAACAGCCAUCAAAAUCACUAAGAAUGACAUUGGAUAGCUAUGAGAAAGUAGUAGAGAAUUGAUUUAAAAUAUCAUUCUUGUUUGGUAUAGAUUAAACUAGGAAAUGUUCUCUCUGAAGCAUGAAAAUGUUUUUCCCAUGUGAAGUUUAGUACAAGGAUGGAAAAAUAAUAAUCACAGUAGACUUUGAACAAUGCAACUGUAUCUCUGAAUAUCCACAUUUAAAAAUAGCCUUCACUGAAUGCUGAAUUGCAUUUCCCAUUAAUUUUUGGUUUUAAAAAUUUUGUAAACUUUUUUUUUAUUUGGAAUUUAGUCACAUCCAUUAAAUUUUCCAAUCUAGUUUCUGUGGAAAUUUUUUAACAGAGAGAAACAAAUAGAAACAUCUUCAAAUCUUCCUAAGUGAAUAUUUAAAAUGCAGAAUUGCUUAUCUUCUGUUUUUCUGUAUUCAGACACUUAUAUCUGUUGUAUAUAUUAGUUUAGACACUCUCACUAAUAUACACAGUAUUUAAGACUCUAAAUGAGAUUUCUUAAGUAUUUUAUUUUAUUCUCUGUAAAUGGUUUUGUAUAAUCUUUAAACAUCUACACUUUGCCUUUGUAGAUAUUUAAGGGAAACCAUUUGGGGUUGUCUUGCAUGUAUAUUUUUGUUGUAGAUAAGUGUUGCUUAGUUAUUUCUGCAAAUUUUGGUUGAAAUGCUUACAGACUUUAAUACAGUAUAUAUUUUCAAAAUAUAAACUUUUAUAUUUCUGUGAUAAGUUAGGAUAUGCGUUUUAGGCAAUAUUUUUCAUUAAUAUCACUUGUUCUUUUGAAAAAUAGCAUACUGGUUUGGUGCCAAUUUUUUCAUUAGAAUAUAAUGCUCUUAUAUUGUUGGAGAGCAGGUUAAUCUUUUUUCGAAGUAAUUGCGUUUGAAGUAUAAUUUCAAAAUGUAUUGAAUUUGUGAAUAAGCCUUACCAUUAGGAUCAGUAAAUUUUUCAACUUUGCAACUACAUAAGUAGUUUAAGAUCUCCCCGUAAAUUCUCACUGUGUGGCAGUUGAUGGAGUUUGUGAACAGAGCCUUAAGCUUGUUGCAAAAAAAUUUAAAAAGGGUAAUACGGGUUGUUUCCUCCAUGCAACGUAAGCCAUGCUGAUGGACUGAAUGCAGUCUGUAAUUCAUGGCUAAUCCGAAGAGUUUGAUUGAGUUGAUGGCGGCAGGGACCAGAUAGACACCUUGGUGAUUGUCUUUGGCCAUAAGAAUAGACCAAGGAUAGGUUUUCCAGAGACACCUUCAUACUGUAAACAUGGUUUAGACACGGUCAUAGGGAAGGCUGCUGGUCCAUCAUUUGUUCUGAACAAAUGGCAUUUCCUGCUCCUGACCCUGGCAGUUGGCCCCAGAUUCCUUGUCGAUGACUUGGAAACGUCCAUUCUGGGUAAGGUCAGCACUCCCUGAGAGAUGUUAACAAAGUUUACCUAUGAGUCUUACUGUGUAGACAAUCUGAAGUCAAUUUUAGUUACACAAUCAGCAUUCCCAUGUGUCCUCAGUGUCUUAUCAAUGAACUAUGUGUAUCAAGCCAUACUAAACUGGAGUUUAGCAGGACAAAGGCAAACUAAAUGUAGAACAUAACAUAUCAGCUGAAUAUGUCUAUCCAGGACUGUUUUUCUAGAACAUAAAUCAUGGAGCUCCUUGACAGUGUAUCCACUGUUUUUGGGGUUUAAUAAAACCAACUAGAAUUUAGACUUAAAAAGAAAUUAUUAUUCCUUUUGGUUGUCCACAUAAAGUAGUCCAGGGCUAUCAUAUGGCUAAAAUCAAGUUAUUUGGUUCAUCUCUGGUAUGUAUUUAUAAAGUCAACUUAUCAGCCAUUAAGAUGGAGAUUUGCUUUAAAUUUUUGCAGUGUGUGUGGCAGUCAGAAAAACCCAUAUCUAGUUUUCAACUUCACCUCUGGUGUUUUUAUGGCUUAACCUUAUAUCAUUGAUCCAACAUCUAGCCUGAUGCUGGAGCUCUUAUUUCUAGCCUGAUGCUGGAGCUCUUAUAUCUAGCCUGAUGCUGGAGCUCUUGAAGCUGACUCUUGGAAGUUUGGAGGGUGUAGAGUUUCCCAUCUAGUAUUUAAUUUGUCCCUGUGCCAUUAGUCCCAGCUUGAAGUCAUUUGCCAGUGUCGAUGUUGACAGGAUUGUGACAAUAUUGCCUUUCAUAAAACCGAGAACCAAAGAAUUCCAUUAUUCUAACAAAGCCUGAGUUUCAUAGAUUGUGGGCACAUCUAGACAGAUAUGUGCAUGCUUGAUGGUGCAGAGAAACUGCUGACUUCCACCAACCUCAUGCUCCCCCUGGCUGGCCAUACAGAGGGAUUCGUUGUCAUAUUGAAAAGGCUCUGAAAGAUGAGUUUCUAAUUGAAGCUCACUAUCUCAGGUUGGUGUUUCUACUGUGUAGUCCCAAGCCUGUAUCCAUAUCAUAAAAGUGGAGGCCUGGUACUCCUCCAGGUUAUCUGGCCAGUGUAGACUCCUCCAUCUGAAUAUGAACCUCCAGGGUAAGAAUUUUUCAGACAUGUCUAUACUGAACAGUAGGAUCCUGCACUUUCCAAAUGUCUGCCUCCUUUUGUUCUUCAUUGACCCAUUCUAAUUCCUGUUAGGUGUGAGAAGAAUUGUCUUCAGUUCUCUCUCCAUUCUCAUUCAUGAUGGAAUCAUUGAUCCAUUGACCAGUUGAGAAAUGAUUGAUGCUGAAGAAGUGGUAUUCUAUUGGUAAGGCUUAUUACCAAACUUCCGAUAAUGAAGCAGGCUACCAAAAACUUAUCCAGCCCACCCUAGGAGUGUUUGGAUUUGAUCAUGGAUGUAGCAUACACCAAAAUCCACCGAGACCUUUGCAAAAUUAGGCUACUUGUUUUAUUUUGCCAGAUUAUCAUGGGAGAGUCUUUAACUAGUUCUGAAUAUUUGUAAGUCUGAGUACUUCAUAGAAUUAUAAAGAAGGUACAGCUGACCCCUUCUCACCAUGUUGUAAAUAUUUACUGAGACUGGGUGCAGUACUGAGGGAUAAUAAUCUUCUGAUUUAUCAAAUCCUGACUGUCUAGAGCAAAUUGUACACUCUCUUUGUGAAUGGUCCUGUAACGUGUAUGAACACAUUUCUGGGUGCCUUAGAAGUUGUAUUUUUCAUGUGUGCUAAUAUGCAGUAUUUAUACAUUGUGAGAAGCUGCUUUGAAUAAAAAGGUUGAAACUUC